GACGAAGGACCCAAGCGUUAUCCGGAUUCAUUGGGUUUAAAGGGUGCGUAGGCGGGUUGAUAAGUCAGUGGUGAAAUCCUAAUGCUUAACAUUAGAACUGCCAUUGAUACUGUCGAUCUUGAAUAUGUUUGAUGUGGGCGGAAUAUGACAUGUAGCGGUGAAAUGCUUAGAUAUGUCAUAGAACACCGAUUGCGAAGGCAGCUCACAAAGCCAUUAUUGACGCUGAGGCACGAAAGUGCGGGGAUCAAACAGG
rnacentral:rRNA from 1 species